rnacentral:rRNA from 1 species
AGCGAACGCUGGCGGCAGGCCUAACGCAUGCAAGUCGAGCGCCCCGCAAGGGGAGCGGCAGACGGGAGAGUAACACGUGGGAACAUGCCCUUCAGUACGGAACAACCAAGGGAAACUUUGGCUAAUACCGUAUACGCCCGUAAGGGGAAAGAUUUAUCGCUGAAGGAUUGGCCCGCGUCUGAUUAGCUAGUUGGUGGGGUAAUGGCCCACCAAGGCGACGAUCAGUAGCUGGUCUGAGAGGAUGAUCAGCCUCACUGGGACUGAGACACGGCCCAGACUCCUACGGGAGGCAGCAGUGGGGAAUAUUGGACAAUGGGCGCAAGCCUGAUCCAGCCAUGCCGCGUGAGUGAUGAAGGCCUUAGGGUUGUAAAGCUCUUUCGUCAGGGAAGAUAAUGACGGUACCUGAAGAAGAAGCCCCGGCUAACUUCGUGCCAGCCGCCGCUGUAAAAC